rnacentral:tRNA from 1 species
AAGUUGCUCUUUAAAACAUAGUAUAAUUAAUUACACUUUAUUUACACUAAAGAUAUAUUUUGGGAUUGUUUUA